UGUGUGUGUGUGUGUGUUGUGUGUGUGUGUGUGUGUGUGUUGUGUGUGUGUGUGUUACACACACACACACACACACACACACACACACACACACACAAACACACAA